AACGCCGAGCGGAGGAGGCAGGAACCGGAGCGCGAGCAGUAGCUGGGUGGGCACCAUGGCUGGGAUCACCACCAUCGAGGCGGUGAAGCGCAAGAUCCAGGUUCUGCAGCAGCAGGCAGAUGAUGCAGAGGAGCGAGCUGAGCGCCUCCAGCGAGAAGUUGAGGGAGAAAGGCGGGCCCGGGAACAGGCUGAGGCUGAGGUGGCCUCCUUGAACCGUAGGAUCCAGCUGGUUGAAGAAGAGCUGGACCGUGCUCAGGAACGCCUGGCCACUGCCCUGCAAAAGCUGGAAGAAGCGGAAAAAGCUGCUGAUGAGAGUGAGAGAGGUAUGAAGGUUAUUGAAAACCGGGCCUUAAAAGAUGAAGAAAAGAUGGAACUCCAGGAAAUCCAGCUCAAAGAAGCUAAGCACAUUGCAGAAGAGGCAGAUAGGAAGUAUGAAGAGGUGGCUCGUAAGUUGGUGAUCAUUGAAGGAGACUUGGAACGCACAGAGGAACGAGCUGAGCUGGCAGAGUCGUGAGUAUCUAGCUCCCCAAAUCUUCUCAUUACCAAUUUGUCCCUUCCCCUUUGGCUUGGGCACUAAUAUGAAUAAAUUAGCAUUCCUUCAACCUUGUUAAACAGGGCCUAGGGAAUGGGAGUCAUCUAUAGUGCUUUUUUAGGCCCAAGAAUGGUUUUAGGCUUCCUUAUUCUCCUGACUAGUGACAAGUGACAAAAGAGGCUUUCUUAUUUUUUGUUGGUAGGGUUUACAAAUU
rnacentral:sRNA from 1 species